UACAGAGGGUGCAAGCGUUGUUCGGAAUUAUUGGGCGUAAAGCGCGUGUAGGCGGCCUGGCAAGUUGGGUGUGAAAGCCCUCGGCUUAACCGAGGAAGUGCGCCCAAAAACUACUAGGCUUGAGUACCGGAGAGGAUAGUGGAAUUCCCGGUGUAGAGGUGAAAAUUCGUAGAUAUCGGGAGGAACACCAGUGGCGAAGGCGGCUAUCUGGACGAGUACUGACGCUGAGACGCGAAAGCGUGGGGAGCAAACAGG
rnacentral:rRNA from 1 species